rnacentral:tRNA from 1 species
CGCAGGGUACUAUCAACGGAAGAUGGCCAGCCUCAUAAGCUGUGCGGAUGUGGGUUCGAAUCCCACCCCUGUUA